UUAAUCAACAGGUAGAUACCUGUCCUGUUCCAGAUCACUCUAAGACUUUCUAAAUUUAUUAUGUUCUAGUCUCAAAGACAUCUGAUGCUCUCUCUUGUGUGGGGUCUGCACAGAUAACUGAGUCAGGAUGCCAGCCUCCAGUUGUCAGCCUUUUAGUUUUCCAUUUACUUGAGCUGGCUAAGUUCAGUGAUUACCACUUUCAUUUUGACAAUUCUCAUUUGUUCUUCAUUUUUUGUCAUUUUUUAUAUCUUGUUUCCUCAUCAGACCCUCAAUAGGAAGACAUACUGUGUAUUCUGUAGCUAGUAUUUCUAAUUCUUUGGUGUUUUGUGAAUCUGAUUCCAUAGUUUUGUUUUGUUGUUGUUGCUAUUGUAUUUUUUUCCUUUAACUUUUCUUGGAAUAGUUUGAUUUUUGAGCCCACAUUCCUUGGAAUUUCAUCUCUAGAAGCUUUUUUAAGACCUGGGUUAAAAGUUCAUUCUUCCAGAUGGAAUUUCCUUUUGUCUGACUACUGAGGUUAUCAAAGUUGUCAUAUGAAAUUUUCAACAUGACCAUAGAGAGGGAGAAUGAUCAUUAUGUAGGUAUUGUGAAAUUCAUUCCUAGAUCAAGUUGUCUUAGUUACUUUCUCAUUGCUGGGAUAAAAUACCUGACACUCUCAAGUUAAAGAAGUAGUUUAUUUUAGCUUACAGUUUGUAGAGGUUUCAGUCCAUAAUUGGCUGGCAAAGCAGCAUGGCAGAGGAACAUGGCAGAGGAGUAAGAGCAAGGCAGGCAGGAAACAGAGUGCCAGCAAGGAAGGAGGAAGGAUCUAUACACCCAGGCAGUCCAUGCUCUCAGUAACUUGUCUCUUCCCAUCAGACUUUACCCCCCAACGUUACAAUAAAGCCAUAGACUCAUCAGUCGAUCUAUUCAGUAUCACACACCCAUGAUCCAGUAUCACACACCCAUGAUCCAGUCACCUCCCAAAAGCCCCACUAUGAGCCCAUGAGGCUUUGGGGGGACAUCCAGCUCUAACCCAUAACACAGGCAGAAUGCACGUCAUCGAUAGGAAUAUACAGGAGGCAUGCUUGUUUGUCCCACUCAGAGACAAGGCUGAGGCAGGCAAAGACCCUGAAUCUCCAACCUGGCUCUGUGGAGCAAAGUUUCUUUCAAGUCCACCUGGUAAGUCUGUCGGCUCUGCAAGUUCUUGGCUGUGCACCAGGGUUUUGGAUCCCACGCAUGCGUGUGCACACACACUCUUGUUCCCAUCAUGAGCCUUAGGCUCACCUCCUGCCCCUCAGAAGCAUAAUUCCUUCACUUUGUUCUAGGACAUCUAUUCCCUACAUUGCCUGAAGCAGAAACCUCUAUUCUCUUAAAUUCAACUGCAUAGUACACUUUCAUGAUGUCACAGCAGAAAGAACACAUGAAAAAUUGUAUUCUGACUUCUAUUCAAUAUACAAUUAGAAGUAUGUAUAUGAAUUUAGAAUAGAAAAUAAGUAUGAAAUGGUGGAGAAAAUAUUACAUAAAUGAAGUUGACAGUAGAACCAAGACAAAAUGAGAGCCUUAUCGAAUCUAGUGUUUGUGAUUAGAAAAAAAAAUCAUGAAGAAUUAAGUAAAAAGACAUGGAUUCUACCUGUGACAUAACUGGUUUGUUAUCAUCAAGUCACUUUGCUUCUCAGUGCUUCAUUGUGCUCAUUUGCAAAAUAAAAAUAAUAAGGCCUUUCUGACAUCUGUUAUAAUUAAAUAAAAAUAGUUACACAUGUGAACUUGAAAAUACAAAGCAACAUACAAUUGGAAAGUUUAAAGAGAUAUUUAAAUUAUUAUAUACGUUUGAAAUUAUUCUUAUGUACUUUAAAGAGAAUAAUUUCAGAGUCAGUAGUUAAUUCACUAUUAAUUUAUUCAACCAAACAUUAAUCAAGCAUUUUCUCUAUUCUAGAUAUGAUACUAUGCACUGCGUUAUUCGUCCCUUCAAGAAGACACAAUUUAUUAGGGAAAAAACACACAUACAACUAAUUUAUUGUGAGUGUAGUUGUAAGUAAUAAAUUUAUCUCUUUAAAUUCUGAUUUAGCACUAUUUCUAAAUCAUCCAUCAGACAUUUCAAAAUAGUGUUCUAUAAUGAUAAAUUACCAAAUGUAAUCACAUAUAUACACUUAUAUGAUAAUAUAACAAAAAUAACCAAAACCAAUCAUUGAAGCUCUAGAAUUCUAAAAAACUGCUCCAUAUGGAAACCUCUUUUAUUAGAGUGUUUGCAAUACAUAAUAAGUACAUUCAUCAUGAGGAAUUAGUAAAUAUAUAUGGCAUCUUUAUGCUUUUUACUUUCCAUUUUCCUCCAAUCCAUCCCAUCUCCACAGAGCCACUUCUCCGCACAUCCCAUCUGUACAAACUGUCUUUCUGUUUCCUAUCAUGUUUUGCUCUUUAUAUUAUUUAUUCUUUGGAUUUCUCAUAUAAGAGAAACCGUGUGAUAUUGAACCUUUUGUGUCUUGCUUAUUUCAUUUAGUAUUUUGGUCUCAAAGUGCAUCUAUUUUUCUACAAAUGACUCAAAUUUGUCCUUCUUUGUGGCUAAGUAGUACUUCAUUUUAUAAAUUGUUUCUUUUUUUUUUGGUACCUGGGAUUGAACUCGGGUCCUUGCUUUUGCUGUAAAUUGUUUCUUUAGCCAUUUAUUUGAUGAUGGACAUAAAAGUUAUUUCCAAGAUUUAACUAUUAUGAGUUGUGCUGCUGUAAACAUGAGAAUCAUAUAUCAUUGUAAUGUAAUGCCUUUAACUCUUUCAAGCACAUACACAGAAGAGGUAUACCUGGGUCAAAAGAAAUCUCUAUUUUUGAGUUUUCUUAGGAAUCUCCAUACUAAUUUCAAUAGUGCUUAUCCUGAUCUAUUUUCUUACCAGCAAUGUGGAAGAGUUCUUUUUCCCUACAACUUAUUUAAUAUUUGUUGUUUUUUGAGUUUUUGAUGGUAAUCUUUCUUUUUGGAGUAAGAUAGGAUCUCAGUGUUGUUUUGAUUUGCAUUUCUCUAAUGGCCAAAUGUGCCAAACACUUUUUCAUUCAUCUUUUGGCAAUUUGUUCUUCUUUUUCUUAAACUUCCACUCAUUUCAAUUGCUCAUUAUUUGAUUGGGUCUUUUAUUUUGGGGGAUCUAACUUUUUUAGAUCAUUAUAUAGUCUCGAUAUUAGUCUACUGCCUGAGUAGUUGGCAAAAAAAAAAAAUUCCCAUUCUGUAGGUUGUCUCUUUUCUCUAUUGAUUGUUUCCUUUGCUGUGAAAAGCUUUUUAAUGAGAUAAAAUCCAAUUUGUUGAUUCUUGGUGUUAUUUCUUGUGCCAUUAAGGUUCUGUUCAUAAAGUCCUUGCCUAUGCCUAUCUCUUCAAAAUUUUACCUAUUUUAUCUUCCAGCAGACUAAGUGUUUCUGUUUUAUAUCUAGGUCUUGAUCUAUUUUGAUUUGAUUUUAGUACAGGGUACAAGUAGGGGUUUAGAUUCAUUGUUCUACAUGUAGAUAACUAGUUUUCCCAGCUCUGUUUGUUAAAGAAGCUCCACCAUUUUCUCCACCAUAUGUCUCAUCUUUUUAUUCCUACAGCUUUGCCUAAUUUUUGAAUUAAAGGAAAAAAUAACCAAGGUAUUAUUUUAUAUCAAUGAGUAAUAGUAACAAUGCUUCUGAUCAGUUAGUGGAAGCUAAAUAGACACGCUGAUGGAAUUUUUUAAAAGCCAUUUAUCAAUAAAUAAGACAAGUUGAUAAGCAACCUAUAUGGGAACUCUUAUCUAUCUUAUUUUUGCUUUUCUAGAAAAUUUCAUUAUAUCUCCUCCGCUGUAUCAAGUUUUGAAUCAUAUAGGGAAGAAAAGGAGUUUCCAUGCUCAAAAUUUACAUGGUUACUUGUGCAUAUUUUUUCAGAGAGAAUAAUUUGAGUAACAUUUCUGUUCAGCAUGUUUUUUGUUUUGUUUUUGUUUGAUUUGUUUUUUGGUACCAGGGAUCAAACUCAGGACCUUGUGCUUGCAAGGCAGGUGCAGUGCCACUGAGCUAAAUCCUGGCUAAAAUUGAUAUUUUAAAACCCUUUGAAAAUCAAGGCACAAUGUUUAGCCAAAUCUAGACUUUAGUAUAAAAGAAUGGCAAUAAUUAUAUAAAGAAGAAUCUUUGUAAUGUGCCCUUUUUUGGAGUAAUGUGCCUUAUUUUAACCUAUUAAAUUUGCUAAGUUGCAAAAUAUUAUAUUUACUUGCACCAUGUUAUUAGAUGUUCAUAAUCACAUACUUAGUUAGGAAAAAAAGAUUAUAUGCCACAAUUAUAUUCCCUGUAGCAUUAUUUUAAAUUAUAAUAAGCAAUCUCAUAAAAUUCUAUAGUAUUCAUCUAAAACAAUUCUUAAUUAGUCUACUUCAUAUCAGUAAUCAUUAAGGGAUCACUGAACUUUUUAGUUUAAAUGUUUAUUUUGUUAAUACUGUUUUCUAGAGUAAGUUAAAUUUGGUUCAUGAAAAAUACAAAUGCACAAUUUUAAAUAAGUGAUAAUUAGCAAUUUUAAAUCGGGGAUAAUUUGUCAUUGAUUAUUUUUUAGACAGAAAAGUGUUGUAAAUUAUAAAAAAACUAUUGUCUGAUAUAUUUGUCUACUGUUAUCUUUUGAUUUUUAAAAAAAUGACAA
rnacentral:lncRNA from 1 species